rnacentral:rRNA from 1 species
GACAGAGGGGGCAAGCGUUGCUCGGAAUCACUGGGCGUAAAGGGCGCGUAGGCGGGAUGGCAAGUCGGUCGUGAAAUCCUUCGGCUCAACCGAAGAACGUCGGCCGAUACUGCCGUUCUUGAGGGAUGCAGAGGAGAUUGGAAUUCCUGGUGUAGAGGUGAAAUUCGUAGAUAUCAGGAGGAACACCGGUGGCGAAGGCGGCUUCCUGGACACUAACUGACGCUGAGACGCGAAAGCGUGGGGAGCAAACAGG